rnacentral:rRNA from 1 species
GACGAACGCUGGCGGCGUGCUUAACACAUGCAAGUCGAACGGAAAGGCCCUGCUUUUGUGGGGUGCUCGAGUGGCGAACGGGUGAGUAACACGUGAGUAACCUGCCCUUGACUUUGGGAUAACUUCAGGAAACUGUGGCUAAUACCGGAUAGGAGCUCCUGCUGCAUUGUGGUGGUUGGAAAGUUUCGGCGGUUGGGGAUGGACUCGCGGCUUAUCAGCUUUUUGGUGGGGUAGUGGCUUACCAAGGCUUUUACGGGUAGCCGGCCUGGGAGGGUGACCGGAGAAAUUGGGAAUGAGAGAAGGAACAGAAACCUAAGGGAGGCAGAAGUGGGGAAUAAUGCAAAAGGGGUGGAAGGCUGAUGCAGAAAAGCCGGGGGCGGGAUGACGGCCUUCGGGUUGUAAACCGCUUUCGCUCAUGACGAAGCUUUGUGUGACGGUAGUGGGUAAAGAAGCACCGGCUAACUACGUG